UCUCUCCUUUCUCGUAACUAAACAUUUCCUAACUAAAACAACAAUCUGUCCAAUUGAACACACAUCUUUUUUUUUUUUGAACAACUGAACACACAUCUCUAUGAAAGAAAUAUAUACAAAUAUUUGAAAUCACUUUCAUAUUUUCUCAAACCCUAAUUGCAACGAUCCUUAUUCAUCCUCUACCCCUUAAUCUCGUUCAGCGUCAAGAAACCAUGGCGAAAUUGAAGUCGAAAAAGAAAGGGAAUCUCAAUAGUCAUCCUUCUUCACCGCAAAUUGACAUCAGAGUUAAAUCGAAUCUCUGAGAUCUUGUGGACGGAAGAGAUGACAAUCAGAUCCGAGAGCUCCGGUGUGGAGAGGACGACUUGACGGCGAGCUCUGUUGUGGAGAGGACGACUCUGAGUUCCGGUGUGGAGAGGACGCGACAACGACAAGCUCUCGUGCUGUGAAGAAUCUGAGAUUUAAAAGUUGAACACUUCUUCUUUCUAUCAGAGAUCUGAGAAGUAAAAGGGUUUGGCUUUAACUAAAACACUUUUUUAUUUAUUUAUUUUUGGUCUCCCACAAUAAGUGUUCUGAAUCGAUAUUUUGAUUACAUGACUAGAUGGCUUUUAGGGCCAAACUUGACAUAACCACAGCAUGGAUGAUGCAGAAAAAUAUUUUGACUACAUGACCACAUCAAGAGUGUGUCCACAACAACAACGUCCUCAACAUCAAUCUUGUUCCCACCGAUUAAGAGUCCAUGGAUGAUGCAGCUCAACAACUCCUAUCCAGACUGCAAAGCAUGGUCUAUAUACUUUCAUUUGGUCUUGCAUUUCAUUACUCUAUGUCAUAACUACUAUAGAUAAAACUUGAUAAAAGUAUGGAUGGCAGCGUUUUAGUGUUUUUGGUCAACUUUGUUGUCCAUGUCCACAUAGUUUAUAACUUUGUUGUUGUUUGAUUUUGUAUAUUUCGUCGUCAAUGUAUAUCUGUGUCACCGUAAACAUGGCUGGAUCAAGUUACUGUAAGCUAUGCGUUUUCAUUACUUAAUAAAUUUGUAUGCAAAAUGCGGACAUGGACAUGUACUAAUUUAUUGUGUUUGUGUUUUUUUCA